ACCAUUUAUGCAAAUAAAUACCACAACUGUGAUGUGUUACAGAACAAAGGCUUAAUGGGCAGUGUAGAAUCUGGGUCAGCAGACAAAGUCAGAGAAGGUUUUCCUGAGGAGGUGAUAGCUGGGAUCUGAAAAAUAACUAGGCAUUAAGUAGGUACAGAGAGGGAGACAGAGUUCCAAAUGGAAUAGUAUAUGCGGAGGCCCUGUGGAAUAGUAAGGGGGAGCAGGGUGCUUUUGGGAAACAGGACAAGGGCCCAUGUGGCUGGAAGGAAGAAGUGCUGUUGGUGCAAGGAGAAGCUGGAGACAUGGGAAGGGACCAGAUCACCCAAGGCCUGUGGUUCGCACGUGUUUCCCCAUCUCCUGCCAAGAAUUGUUUGACGUCCAGCCAUUGGUAAAUGAAUGAUGAAUGAGAACUCUGCAAUCUCCAGCUGGAAUUCUUGUUAUUCAAGCCAUAGUAUCAAUCAUCUAGUAGUAGAAGGUCAAUAUAUUGGAGUGGAAUAGUUGGAUCAUCUGAUUGUCCCAAAACGGGUUUACCUGGAACAAAGUAUCCUUACAGUGUGUGUGCAUUGGAGUUUGAAGACUGGAGGCAGGGAGAUAAGAGAAAAAGAAGGACACCCCCCAGUAGCUUGCAUAUACAUGUUCAACAGACAUGAACUGGGGUUCCGCUGUGCCAGACUCUACAGCAAGCAUUGUGGGAGGUAUAAAGAUGAACCAGAGAGUUCCUGCCCUUGAGCUCUGA